rnacentral:rRNA from 1 species
GACGUAGGGCGCGAGCGUUGUCCGGAUUUAUUGGGCGUAAAGAGCUCGUAGGCGGCUUGUCGCGUCGACUGUGAAAACCCGAGGCUCAACUUCGGGCUUGCAGUCGAUACGGGCAGGCUAGAGUUCGGUAGGGGAGACUGGAAUUCCUGGUGUAGCGGUGAAAUGCGCAGAUAUCAGGAGGAACACCGAUGGCGAUGGCAGGUCUCUGGGCCGAUACUGACGCUGAGGAGCGAAAGCGUGGGGAGCGAACAGG